UCAAAUGUAAAUGGGCUGACACCACUAGAGAACAAGGUUGUAGAAGGAUAGUUGAGAUUUUACUUUUGUUAAUUUUUCACGAGUAAUACACAGUGGUGACCGAGAGGAGGAUGAUCCAUAUAUUGAAGCCUCACAAGCUCGAAUGGUGUAUUUUGUCAAUGAUGAAGUGAAUAAAGAUUGGAGUGUUGUCGUGCAUUUGAAGCCAAGAGACUCAUAAGAUAUGGGGGAAAAUGAAGAUGAUGAAGCAUGCGAGAAUGAGCCAUGCAAAAGAGGUACAAGAAUCUACUUAAAGCAGCAGCAGCUGCAAAUUCUUCACAAGACAAGUCAAUAGCAGUUGCAAAUUCAUCCCGAGACAAGUCGGUAGCUUCAAAUGCAUCACAAGUUAAGUCUGCAGUAGCUGCAAAUUCCUCCCGAGACAAGUUGGCAGCUUCAAAUUCCUCCCGGGAUAAGUCGGCAGCUGCAAAUUUCUCCUGAGACAAGUCGGCAGCAGUUGCAAGUUCCUCCCGAGACAAGUCAGUAGCUUCAAAUUCUUCUGAGCCAUCAUCAGUUGCUCCAACUAUAUCUGAUCAUCCAUCCGAAUCUAAACGUAAACAUAGACGUGAAUCUAAGCAUUACUGGUCUGUUGAUGCCAUAGCAUGCAGCAAUAGGAGAAGCAGCCAGACUCCUUGCAGGAGUUUGUGGGCAAUUGGCCACUGAUUGUGUAACAUUUACAAUUAGUUUUGAUAAGUGGUUAGACAUUCUAGAGAGCUUUUUUAAAAAUCAAUGGAAUAUUUUU